rnacentral:rRNA from 1 species
ACGAACGCUGGCGGCAGGCCUAACACAUGCAAGUCGAACGCGCGUAGCAAUACGCGAGUGGCGCACGGGUGAGUAACACGUGGGAACCAACCCUGAGGUUCGGAAUAACCGCGGGAAACUGCGGCUAAUACCGGAUAUCCCCUACGGGGGAAAGAUUUAUCGCCUCGGGACGGGCCCGCGUCCGAUUAGCUAGUUGGUGAGGUAACGGCUCACCAAGGCUCCGAUCGGUAGCUGGUCUGAGAGGACGACCAGCCACACUGGAACUGAGAUACGGUCCAGACUCCUACGGGAGGCAGCAGUGGGGAAUAUUGGGCAAUGGAGGCAACUCUGACCCAGCCAUGCCGCGUGGGUGACGAAGGUCUUCGGAUUGUAAAGCCCUUUCGGCGGGGACGAUGAUGACGGUACCCGCAGAAGAAGCCCCGGCUAACUUCGU